rnacentral:rRNA from 1 species
UACGUAUGGAGCAAGCGUUAUCCGGAUUUACUGGGUGUAAAGGGAGUGUAGGCGGUCCGAUAAGUCUGAUGUGAAAGCCCGUGGCUCAACCGCGGGAUUGCAUUGGAAACUGUAGGACUAGAGUAUCGGAGGGGUAAGCGGAAUUCCUAGUGUAGCGGUGAAAUGCGUAGAUAUUAGGAGGAACACCGGUGGCGAAGGCGGCUUACUGGACGACAACUGACGCUGAGGCUCGAAAGCGUGGGGAGCAAAC